CCCUUAGAUGUCCUGGGCCGCACGCGCGCUACACUGAGUGUCUGAGAUACGAGUCUGCCUGGUCCGGCAAGGUCUAGGUAAUCGCUAAAAGACACAUCAUGCUUGGGAUAGAUUAUUGCAAAUAUUAAUCUUGAACGAGGAAUUCCUAGUAAGCGCAAGUCAACAGCUUGCGUUGAUUACGUCCCUGCCCUUUGUACACACCGCCCGUCGCUCCUACCGAUUGGGUGUGCUGGUGAAAUGUUCGGAUCGGCCGUUUGUCGCGGUUUCCGCGUCAUGUGGCUGAGAAGUUCAUUAAACCCUCCCACCUAGAGGAAGGAGAAGUCGUAACA
rnacentral:rRNA from 1 species